rnacentral:rRNA from 1 species
AGGGAAACAGCCCAGAUCACCAUUUAAGGCCCCUAAAUAAUUGCUAAGUGAUAAAGGAUGUAAUAGUACAUAGACAACCAGGAGGUUUGCCUAGAAGCAGCAAUCCUUUAAAAAGUGCGUAAUAGCUUACUGGUCAAGUGCUUUUGCGCCGAAAAUGAAUGGGACUAAGUAAUUUGCCGAAAGUGUGAGAUUAUAUCGGUAGAAGAGCGUUCUGUAUUAGUGUGAAGCAAUGGCGGGAGCUUUUGUGGACUAUUCAGAAGUGAGAAUGACAGCUUAAGUAACGAAAACAUUGGUGGAAAUCCAAUGCUCCGAAAACCUAAGGAUUCCCUCGCAAGGUUCGUCCACGAGGGGUUAGUCAGGACCUAAAAUGAGGUUUAAAAACAUAGUUGAUGGUUAACGGGUUAAUAUUCCCGUACUGCUUAUUUGUUUUGUUAAAGUUGACGAAGGAGGCUAGUUCGGCCAGUUUUUGGUUAUUAUUGGUUAAAUCUUCAAAGGCGUAGAGAUUAGUUAUAAAAAACUUUUUGAGCUAAUGAGAAAUUACGAUAGGUGUUACGGCACUGAAAGUGAAUGAGGUCAAACUUCCUAGAAAAUACUUGGUAACGUUUAACAGAUAGUACCUGUACCUUAAACUGACACAGGUAGGUUAGUAGAGAAUACUAAGGAGCGCGAGAUAACUCUUUCUAAGGAACUCGGCAAAAUGACUCUGUAACUUCGGGAGAAAGAGUGCCUUAUAUUUAUAAGGCCGCAGUGAUCAGAUCCAAGCGACUGUUUACCAAAAACACAGGUCUCCGCUAAGUUGAAAAACAAUGUAUGGGGGCUGACGUCUGCCCAGUGCCGGAAGGUUAAAGAAAUUGGUUAGCAAUUGCGAAGCUAGUGACUGAAGCCCUGGUGAACGGCGGCAGUAACUAUAACUGUCCUAAGGUAGCGAAAUUCCUUGUCGGGUAAGUUCCGACCUGCACGAAAGACGUAACGAUUUGGAUACUGUCUCAGGAAGAGGCUCGGUGAAAUAGAAUUGACUGUGAAGAUGCGGUCUACUUACACUUGGACAGAAAGACCCUAUGAAGCUUUACUGUAACUUGAAAUUGGUUUUGGAUUUUUUUUGCGCAGGGAAUAGGUGGGAGGCUAUGAACCUCUUUUUCGGAAGAUGGGGAGCUGUAAUGUGAGAUACCACUCUUGAAAAAUUAGAAAUCUAAUGAUAUUUUAAUCAUGAUAUUUGACAGUUUCAGGUGGGCAGUUUUACUGGGGCGGUAGCCUCCUAAAAGGUAACGGAGGCGCACAAAGGUUUUCUCAGGCUGGACGGAAAUUAGUUGUAGAGUGUAAAGAUAUAAGAAAGCUUGACUGUGAGACUUAUAAGUCGAACAGAGACAAAAGUCGGUCUUAGUGAUCCGAAGUUGCUGUGUGGAAAGGACUUCGCUUAUCAGAUAAAAGUUACUCUAGGGAUAACAGGCUGAUCUCCCCCAAGAGUUCACAUCGACGGGGAGGUUUGGCACCUCGAUGUCGGCUCAUCGCAUCCUGGGGCAGUAGUAUGUCCCAAGGGUUAGGCUGUUCGCCUAUUAAAGCGGUACGUGAGCUGGGUUCAGAACGUCGAGAGACAGUUCGGUCCAUAUCCGGUGUAAGCGUUAGAGCAUUGAAAGGAGCUUUCCUUAGUACGAGAGGACCGGGAAUGACACACCACUGAUUUGCCAGUUUUUGUACCAACGGAAAACGCUGGGUAGUCACGUGUGGAGUGGAUAA